GACGAACGCUGGCGGCGUGCCUAAUACAUGCAAGUAGAACGCAGUUGCGACCGGGUGAGUAACGCGUAGGUUACUGCCUGGUAGCGGGGGAUAACUACUGGAAACGAUAGCUAAUACCGCAUCCUACUAGAUGGACCUGCGUUGUAUUAGGUAGUUGGUGAGGUAACGGCUAAACAAGGCAACGAUACAUAGCAGACCGGAGAGGAGGAUCGGCCACACUGGGACGGAGACAAGGGCCAGAAUACUACGGUAGGCAGCAGUAGGGAAUCGUCGGCAAUGGGGGGAACCCUGACCGAGCAACGACGCGUGAGUGAAGAAGGUUUUCGGAUCGGAAAGCGCUGUUGUUAAGGAAGCGGUACUUAACCAGAAAGGGACGGCUAACUACGUGCCAGCAGCCGCGGUAAUAC
rnacentral:rRNA from 1 species